GGGUGUGAUCAUACCAGCGUUAGUGCACUGUAUCCUAUUAGAACUCCACAGUUAAGCACACUUGGGAUAGAGUAGUACUAGGAUGGGUGACCUCCCGGGAAGUCCUAGUGUUGCACCCU
rfam:Picea glauca, whole genome shotgun sequence.